UACGAAGGGGGCUAGCGUUGUUCGGAAUUACUGGGCGUAAAGCGCACGUAGGCGGAUAUUUAAGUCAGGGGUGAAAUCCCGGGGCUCAACCCCGGAACUGCCUUUGAUACUGGGUAUCUCGAGUCCGAGAGAGGUGAGUGGAAUUCCGAGUGUAGAGGUGAAAUUCGUAGAUAUUCGGAGGAACACCAGUGGCGAAGGCGGCUCACUGGCUCGGUACUGGCGCUGAGGUGCGAAAGCGUGGGGAGCAAACAGG
rnacentral:rRNA from 1 species